rnacentral:rRNA from 1 species
UACGUAGGUGACAAGCGUUGUCCGGAUUUACUGGGCGUAAAGAGCGCGCAGGCGGUCGUUCAAGUCGAGUGUGAAAGCCCCCGGCUCAACUGGGGAGGGUCAUUCGAUACUGAUCGACUCGAAGGCAGGAGAGGGAAGUGGAAUUCCCGGUGUAGUGGUGAAAUGCGUAGAUAUCGGGAGGAACACCAGUGGCGAAGGCGAGUCUCUGGGAUGAUGCUGACGCUGAGGCGCGAAAGCCAGGGGAGCAAACGGG